GAGGUAAACAAACCGAUCGAUUCUUGAUCGCCGUUCUUGUCGAUCGGAAAAUCAAAAUACCAGCGUGAUAUUGCCGCAAAGAUGAAGCAGUUAUGUUAUUUGAUUCGUACUUCACAUUCGAGUCGAAGCUUGGGUGGCACAGGUUAUUUCUUGUGGUGGAAUCGACGAGGGGAAUUCAGAAAGUUGUAGUGUUUGUAUUGUUGGAAUAAAUGGUCGCAUGGGGAUGAUUAACCUGCUUGAUUUAUAUCGGUUACGCUUCAUGUUGACAAGUCCCUCAAAAUGGCGGCCAAACGUGGAGAUUGCCGAAAAUUAGGUACCAUGUUGUCCUGCACUUCUCUCAGCUCGAGAAAAAUAAACUGUAGGUUCCCUCUCUACUGGUAAGGCUCUUUCAUUAUCUCUGGCGCACACCACACGUACUCUUUCAUUCCGUGAGGGUCGGAUGUUUUUUACCAUGGUGUAGAUCUUGAUCAUACAGCAGAAAACAACCACCAAUACAACGAAGCAAGCCGAACUGAUGGUCUCAGCAAUCAUGACUGAGUAAGGUGUUCGAGGUUCGUCAAUGUUUUCAAAAGCGUCUGAAUAGAGAGGUGGCCAACAAGCAAGCUGCUUUGGUCUUAAAUUGUUCCGCCGCAAAUAAAAAGAACUGCGCUCCACUCACAAGGAUGAUUCAGUUCUAGUAACUGUUCGAUUUGAGGUCUCAGCAAUCAUUACUGGGUAAGGUGUUCGAGCUUCGUCAAUGUUUUCAAAGGCGCCUGAAUAGAGAGGUGGCCAACAAGCAAGCUGCUUUGGUCUUAAAUUGCUUCGCUGACAAAAGCCUUAAUCUGCAAAUUGUUCUUUAUUUUCAAGCAUAGAGCCAAGAUCAAGUGCCGGAGGAACAAGUAUGGUGUCAUAGUUUUAUUCAAUUCGAUCCUGUGGGUGAAGUCGCGCGUCUGACCGCAAGCAAUACAAAUUACAUUAUCUCGAGAGGAAAACACAAAUAAACCAACGCAGUUAGUUACUGUUUUUAGGGCCAUCUAGUUUUAUUUGUACACAGACUUUUUUUCUCAAAUCGGCCGUUUUAAACACAGUUUCAAUU